rnacentral:rRNA from 1 species
UCCGGUGGUGAUGUCGAGAAGGCCACACCCGAUCCCAUCCCGAACUCGGUAGUUAAGCUUCUCAGAGCCGAUGGUACUGCAAGGAUUCCCUUGUGGGAGAGUAGGUCGCCGCCGGGC